rnacentral:rRNA from 1 species
ACAGUGUCUGGUGGGUAGUUUGACUGGGGCGGUCUCCUCCUAAAGAGUAACGGAGGAGCACGAAGGUUGGCUAAUCCUGGUCGGACAUCAGGAGGUUAGUGCAAUGGCAUAAGCCAGCUUGACUGCGAGCGUGACGGCGCGAGCAGGUGCGAAAGCAGGUCAUAGUGAUCCGGUGGUUCUGAAUGGAAGGGCCAUCGCUCAACGGAUAAAAGGUACUCCGGGGAUAACAGGCUGAUACCGCCCAAGAGUUCAUAUCGACGGCGGUGUUUGGCACCUCGAUGUCGGCUCAUCACAUCCUGGGGCUGAAGUAGGUCCCAAGGGUAUGGCUGUUCGCCAUUUAAAGUGGUACGCGAGCUGGGUUUAGAACGUCGUGAGACAGUUCGGUCCCUAUCUGCCGUGGGCGCUGGAGAACUGAGGGGGGCUGCUCCUAGUACGAGAGGACCGGAGUGGACGCAUCACUGGUGUUCGGGUUGUCAUGCCAAUGGCACUGCCCGGUAGCUAAAUGCGGAAGAGAUAAGUGCUGAAAGCAUCUAAGCACGAAACUUGCCCCGAGAUGAGUUCUCCCUGACUCCUUGAGAGUCCUGAAGGAACGUUGAAGACGACGACGUUGAUAGGCCGGAUGUGUAAGCGCAGCGAUGCGUUGAGCUAACCGGUACUAAUGAACCGUGAGGCUUAACCUUACAACGCCGAAGG